rnacentral:rRNA from 1 species
AACGAACGCUGGCGGCAUGCCUAACACAUGCAAGUCGAACGAGACCUUCGGGUCUAGUGGCGCACGGAUGCGUAACGCGUGGGAACCUGCCCUUAGGUUCGGAAUAACUCCCCGAAAGGGGUGCUAAUACCGGAUAAUGUCUUCGGACCAAAGAUUUAUCGCCUUUGGAUGGGCCCGCGUUGGAUUAGCUAGUUGGUAGGGUAAAAGCCUACCAAGGCGACGAUCCAUAGCUGGUCUGAGAGGAUGAUCAGCCACACUGGCACUGAGACACGGCCCAGACUCCUACGGGAGGCAGCAGUGGGGAAUAUUGGAAAAUGGGCGAAAGCAUGAUCCAGCAAUGCCGCGUGAGUGAUGAAGGCCUUAGGGUUGUAAAGCUCUUUUACCCGGGAUGAUAAUGACAGUACCGGGAGAAUAAGCUCCGGCUAACUCCGUG